rnacentral:rRNA from 1 species
GGCCAUUGGGGCAGGCUAUAAUGCAAGCUGACGGUAAUGUUGUAGCAAUACAAUAUGAGAGUAGCGUAAGGGUGCGUAACACGUAUGCAAUCUACCCGCAACAGGAGGAUAGCUCCCCGAAAGGGGAAUUAAUACUCCAUAAGAUCACGAGAGGGCAUCUGAUUGUGAUUAAACUCCAAGGGGUUGCGGAUGAGCAUGCGUCUGAUUAGUUAGUUGGUGAGGUAACGGCUCACCAAGACGAUGAUCAGUAGGGGAACUGAGAGGUUGAUCCCCCACACUGGCACUGAGAUACGGGCCAGACUCCUACGGGAGGCAGCAGUAGGGAAUAUUGGUCAAUGGGUGAGAGCCUGAACCAGCCAUGCCGCGUGCAGGAAGAAAGCCUUCUGGGUUGUAAACUGCUUUUGCCAAGGGAUAAAAUACCCGUGCGCGGGGAAUUGAAGGUACUUGGUGAAUAAGCCACGGCUAACUACGUGCCAGCAGCCGCGGUAAUACGUAGGUGGCAAGCGUUGUCCGGAUUUAUUGGGUUUAAAGGGUGCGUAGGCGGUUCUAUAAGUCAGUGGUGAAAUACGGCAGCUUAACUGUCGAGGUGCCAUUGAUACUGUAGGACUAGAGUACUGUUGAGGUAGGCGGAAUGGACGGUGUAGCGGUGAAAUGCUUAGAUAUCGUCCAGAACACCGAUAGCGAAGGCAGCUUACUAAAGAGUAACUGACGCUGAGGCACGAAAGUGUGGGGAUCAAACAGGAUUAGAUACCCUGGUAGUCCACACUGUAAACGAUGAUCACUAGAUGUUGGCGAUACACUGCCAGCGUUCCAGCAAAAGCGAUAAGUGAUCCACCUGGGGAGUACGCCCGCAAGGGUGAAACUCAAAGGAAUUGACGG